AUGGCGGAGCCGGGCGGCGCGCUCGACCCCCCUCCUCCCCCCUCUCCGGCUGCGCCGACCCCGCCGGUCCAGUGGCCCAAGGACGGCUCGCUCGACCCGCCUCCUUCCCCCUCUCCGGUCGCGCAGCCCCCGCCGGUCGAGUGGCCCGAGGACGGCGUGCUGACGCGGGACUGGGUGGCCAGCUUCACCGCGGCGCUGGACUGGUGCUCGCGGAGCAUCCCGCCGGACCAGCUCCCCUCGGUGCUCUCCGCGGAUUUCGUGCGGCGGCUCGUCGUCGCCGCGGCCGUCAUCCUCCACCGCGAGCCCAACAUCGUCCGCGUCGACCCGCGGCCCGACCAGUCCGUCGUCGUCGUGGGGGACGUCCACGGCCAGCUCCACGAUGUCAUGUUCCUGCUCCGGGACGCCGGGUUCCCCUCGGAGGAGCGAAUCUUUGUCUUUAACGGGGAUUACGUGGAUCGCGGCGCUUGGGGCCUCGAGACCUUGCUCCUCCUCCUGGCUUGGAAGGUAUUCCUUCCAAAUUGUGUGUUUCUUCUCCGAGGAAAUCAUGAAUCCAAGUACUGCACGUCAGUAUAUGGUUUCGAACAGGAGGUAAUGGUUAAAUAUAAAGGUCAAGGCACUCAAGUUUAUCGGAAGUUUUUAAGAUGUUUUGAAGAUCUCCCUCUAGCAUCAAUAAUAGCAGGAUGUGUGUAUACUGCUCAUGGAGGGAUUUUUCGUGGGGCGGUUGUACUACCGUUGAAAAGGUCGAAAAGGGCAAAGAAAGGUCACAAAUAUAAGGCGGGUCCUACUGAUGACUCUACUACUUUGAAGCUUGGAUCCCUGGACGAAUUGUUAAAAGCAAGGAGAACUGUUCUUGACACCCCGUAUGAGGGUUCAAACUUGAUUCCUGGAGAUGUGCUUUGGUCUGAUCCUUCCUUAGAUAAGGGUCUUUCCCUGAAUAAUGAAAGGGGCAUUGGUUUGCUUUGGGGUCCAGAUAUCACUCAACAGUUUCUAUAUACAAAUAAUCUGAAGUUAAUCAUCAGAUCACAUGAAGGCCCAGAUGCAAGAGAUAAGCGGCAUGAUCUAUUAGCAAUGGACAGUGGAUAUACAAUCGACCAUCAUGUCGCAUGCGGAAAGUUAAUAACUCUCUUCAGUGCCCCAGACUAUCCACAAUUUCAGGCCUCAGUGGACCGUUACAACAAUUCUGGAGCAUAUAUUGUCCUCAGUCCCCCUGAUUUUGCUACCCCUGAUUUCCAUACUUUUCAAGCUGUAAAGCCUCGGCCUAAGGCGCAUCCCUACUAUGAUUUUGAAGACGUAAUUGAUUCUGAUGAAGAGUUAAAUCUAGGCGCCAUGGACACUGGCACGUCGAGCAGUUGA
rnacentral:rRNA from 1 species